rnacentral:tRNA from 1 species
GUGAUAUAGCUCAGCAGCAUAGCAUCUGCCUGGCAAGCACAAGGUCCUGAGUUCAAUUUCCAGUAUCCACC